rnacentral:rRNA from 1 species
AGAGUUUGAUCAUGGCUCAGGACGAACGCUGGCGGCGUGCCUAAUACAUGCAAGUCGAGCGGACAGAUGGGAGCUUGCUCCCUGAUGUUAGCGGCGGACGGGUGAGUAACACGUGGGUAACCUGCCUGUAAGACUGGGAUAACUCCGGGAAACCGGGGCUAAUACCGGAUGCUUGUUUGAACCGCAUGGUUCAAACAUAAAAGGUGGCUUCGGCUACCACUUACAGAUGGACCCGCGGCGCAUUAGCUAGUUGGUGAGGUAACGGCUCACCAAGGCAACGAUGCGUAGCCGACCUGAGAGGGUGAUCGGCCACACUGGGACUGAGACACGGCCCAGACUCCUACGGGAGGCAGCAGUAGGGAAUCUUCCGCAAUGGACGAAAGUCUGACGGAGCAACGCCGCGUGAGUGAUGAAGGUUUUCGGAUCGUAAAGCUCUGUUGUUAGGGAAGAACAAGUACCGUUCGAAUAGGGCGGUACCUUGACGGUACCUAACCAGAAAGCCACGGCUAACUACGUGCCAGCAGCCGCGGUAAUACGUAGGUGGCAAGCGUUGUCCGGAAUUAUUGGGCGUAAAGGGCUCGCAGGCGGUUUCUUAAGUCUGAUGUGAAAGCCCCCGGCUCAACCGGGGAGGGUCAUUGGAAACUGGGGAACUUGAGUGCAGAAGAGGAGAGUGGAAUUCCACGUGUAGCGGUGAAAUGCGUAGAGAUGUGGAGGAACACCAGUGGCGAAGGCGACUCUCUGGUCUGUAACUGACGCUGAGGAGCGAAAGCGUGGGGAGCGAACAGGAUUAGAUACCCUGGUAGUCCACGCCGUAAACGAUGAGUGCUAAGUGUUAGGGGGUUUCCGCCCCUUAGUGCUGCAGCUAACGCAUUAAGCACUCCGCCUGGGGAGUACGGUCGCAAGACUGAAACUCAAAGGAAUUGACGGGGGCCCGCACAAGCGGUGGAGCAUGUGGUUUAAUUCGAAGCAACGCGAAGAACCUUACCAGGUCUUGACAUCCUCUGACAAUCCUAGAGAUAGGACGUCCCCUUCGGGGGCAGAGUGACAGGUGGUGCAUGGUUGUCGUCAGCUCGUGUCGUGAGAUGUUGGGUUAAGUCCCGCAACGAGCGCAACCCUUGAUCUUAGUUGCCAGCAUUCAGUUGGGCACUCUAAGGUGACUGCCGGUGACAAACCGGAGGAAGGUGGGGAUGACGUCAAAUCAUCAUGCCCCUUAUGACCUGGGCUACACACGUGCUACAAUGGACAGAACAA